GAUGAACGCUAGCGGCAGGCCUAACACAUGCAAGUCGAGGGGUAGAAGGAGCUUGCUCCUUUGAGACCGGCGCACGGGUGCGUAACGCGUAUGCAAUCUACCUUGUACAGGGGAAUAGCCCAGAGAAAUUUGGAUUAAUGCCCCAUAGUAUAUAACCUUCGCAUGUUGGUUAUAUUAAAGUUCCAACGGUACAAGAUGAGCAUGCGUCCCAUUAGUUAGUUGGUAAGGUAACGGCUUACCAAGACGAUGAUGGGUAGGGGUCCUGAGAGGGAGAUCCCCCACACUGGUACUGAGACACGGACCAGACUCCUACGGGAGGCAGCAGUGAGGAAUAUUGGGCAAUGGUCGCAAGACUGAACCAGCCAUGCCGCGUGCAGGAAGACGGUCCUAUGGAUUGUAAACUGCUUUUAUACAGGAAGAAACCCUCCCACGUGUGGGGGCUUGACGGUACUGUAGGAAUAAGGAUCGGCUAACUCCGUG
rnacentral:rRNA from 1 species